rnacentral:rRNA from 1 species
UACGAAGGGUGCAAGCGUUACUCGGAAUUACUGGGCGUAAAGCGUGCGCAGGCGGUUUGUUAAGUCCGCUGUGAAAUCCCCGAGCUCAACUUGGGAAUUGCAGUGGAUACUGGCAAGCUGGAGUAUGGUAGAGGAAGGUGGAAUUCCCGGUGUAGCAGUGAAAUGCAUAGAGAUCGGGAGGAACACCAGUGGCGAAGGCGGCCUUCUGGACCAAUACUGACGCUCAUGCACGAAAGCGUGGGGAGCAAACAGG